UACAGAGGGGGCAAGCGUUGCUCGGAAUCACUGGGCGUAAAGGGUGCGUAGGCGGGUCUUUAAGUCAGGGGUGAAAUCCUGGAGCUCAACUCCAGAACUGCCUUUGAUACUGAAGAUCUUGAGUUCGGGAGAGGUGAGUGGAACUGCGAGUGUAGAGGUGAAAUUCGUAGAUAUUCGCAAGAACACCAAUGGCGAAGGCAGCUCGCUGGGACGGUACUGACGCUGAGACGCGAAAGCGUGGGGAGCAAACAGG
rnacentral:rRNA from 1 species